AGAGUUUGAUCAUGGCUCAGAUUGAACGCUGGCGGCAUGCCUUACACAUGCAAGUCGAACGGUAACAGGUCUUCGGAUGCUGACGAGUGGCGAACGGGUGAGUAAUACAUCGGAACGUGCCCAGACGUGGGGGAUAACGAGGCGAAAGCUUUGCUAAUACCGCAUACGAUCUAAGGAUGAAAGCAGGGGACCGCAAGGCCUUGCGCGUUUGGAGCGGCUGAUGGCAGAUUAGGUAGUUGGUGGGAUAAAAGCUUACCAAGCCGACGAUCUGUAGCAGGUCUGAGAGGACGACCAGCCACACUGGGACUGAGACACGGCCCAGACUCCUACGGGAGGCAGCAGUGGGGAAUUUUGGACAAUGGGCGAAAGCCUGAUCCAGCAAUGCCGCGUGCAGGAUGAAGGCCUUCGGGUUGUAAACUGCUUUUGUACGGAACGAAAAGGCUCUGGCUAAUACCUGGGGCACAUGACGGUACCGUAAGAAUAAGCACCGGCUAACUACGUG
rnacentral:rRNA from 1 species